rnacentral:rRNA from 1 species
GAAUCUUCGGCAAUGGGCGCAAGCCUGACCGAGCCAUGCCGCGUGAGCGAUGAAGGCCUUAGGGUUGUAAAGCUCUUUCGCCAGGGAAGAUAAUGACGGUACCUGGUAAAGAAACCCCGGCUAACUCCGUUCCAGCAGCCGCGGUAAUACGGAGGGGGUUAGCGUUGUUCGGAAUUACUGGGCGUAAAGCGCGCGUAGGCGGACUGGAAAGUUGGGGGUGAAAUCCCAGGGCUCAACCCUGGAACUGCCUCCAAAACUAUCAGUCUGGAGUUCGAGAGAGGUGAGUGGAAUUCCGAGUGUAGAGGUGAAAUUCGUAGAUAUUCGGAGGAACACCAGUGGCGAAGGCGGCUCACUGGCUCGAUACUGACGCUGAGGUGCGAAAGCGUGGGGAGCAAACAGG